rnacentral:lncRNA from 1 species
UGAGGAUCUCAUGUGUUUGAAAAUGGGAAGAAUCCUUUCUUUGUUAUGCAUUAGGGUAUUUUCCAGUCAGUAGGAUUUACUGGUGCCUCUCUGUCACUUUUCCUUCCCCCCCGCCUGGUUUGGGAAGGGAGAGGAAGGUUGUUUAGAAGUAGAUUCCCUCUGCUAUUAAGCAGUCAGUCUGUGGAAAAACUUAGGAUCCGCUGACACAAUUUACACUUAGGAACCAUGCUAAUUUUGUUUUGUAGGAAGAGGUUUUUGUAUUUUUAUUAUUGCCACCUGCAGCAGGUACAAAGGUGAUGUGGAGUACUGUGUGCUCAUUUAAAAUAAUUUCCUCAGUAAUGUACCGGAUCAAAAAUGAAGGAUGGUGCUGCAUGUAUUUUUAAUAGUAUGUUGACAUAUUUUUUGGAAACAGUGUAGUCCCUGCUUCAUUUGUAUUUAUAAUUUAGCAUGACUCAUAACCAGAAGUCAGAACUGCCCUGAUGAAAAGAGAAGACUGUGAUACUAAGAUUACAAGAGCCAAGGCAGAUUUUGUAUAUCGAAAGCUGACAAAAAAGACAAUUUGCAGAAGUUUCAGUAAGUGCAUCAUUAAAUCAUCCUUGGCUCCUUUUCAAUUUUUUUUUUUUUUAAAUGAUGCUUCUCUAAGCAAAAAUAUAAACAUCUGAAACACUGAAGGUGACUUUCUUGGAAGAACUAUUUUUUUCCCCACUAAGGAAAUAUAUUUUUUUCUGAAGAUGUCCAACUGAUUAAUGCCAGACCACAUGGAAUUAUUAAAUGAAAUCCUCAAGAUGUUCUAUUGUUUUUAUAGCACAAUUCAGUCGCCAGUUUUUUUCUGUAUGUGGAAAUAUUUGGCAGCUUUGUUGACCAGAUAGGCAAUGGUAUGUGAAUUUUACAUUUUGUAUAAGGGCCCUUGUUUCACAUUGAAAAUUUAGGGGUUAAAUGUUCAGUUAAAAGAGUGACUAAGUGAGUGCCUUCAUAAUUCCUGUAGAGUGUCAUGAGAAAUAAGAGUCUUUCAUCAUCCUCCACUCUACAAGAACUGGACAGGCAUGUUGCUUUUCUUAAAAGCAUUUUCAGACACAGCAAGCUCUCAAGUUUGGAAUUAUCUGUGGUCCUGCUGGCCUCAAGAACUCGCUGUGUUGCCAAUAUGGAGAUUAGUGUUCCUCUCGCUGUGGUGUGCUAUCAAGCUACUCAGCACAAAUACCGAGAAGUCAUUCUUGUAAUAACAUGUCCCACAGGCAUCUGAGAGGAAAUGCUUACUCAGAGUGCCCCAUGUUUGGAGGAUAAUGUUGGAGAUGCUUGCCACAGAGAACAGUCACCGUAUGAAGUGGGGAUGUCUUCCUGAAAACAGACUGUACAUCAGGCAGCCCUUCUCUAGCAGCAGAAUACUUCUGUAGUUCACAGUUUGAGGAGCUGAUUACAGGAGAAGUUUGGCUGGUAUCAAAUGCUGUGUCAGUUUUACUUUCAUGCUUUAACUACAUUGCACUUAAUUAGGCUUUGUCCACUACCAUUUUAAAGGGCCAGGUGGUCACACAAUAGAAAGGAAAUUUUCUGGCUUUAGUAUGUGAGGUAUAAAUUAAAUAUCUUAUAGUUGUUGAACAUCUAUUGUAACUUAUGGACUGCACUUUCUCAUUCAUUAUAUGUGUGAACUAAACAAAUCUGGCUUUGACUCAAGUGAAUUUUGGCAUGUGUCAAUGCCCUACUGGCCUUUAGGCCUUUCACAAGCAUGUGAUUCCACAUUUUAUGUGGCUAUGUACUAGUGAACGGAAUGUUUAAAUAAAUAGCAAUUUGAGUCACUUAGUCUUGAAUCA